rnacentral:tRNA from 1 species
UAUAUUUUAAUGUAGAGGCAUAUAAAAUUUUGAAUUUUAAAGUAUUAAGAAUAUUAAUGAAUAUAA